rnacentral:lncRNA from 1 species
AGUGCAUGCAUCUCUUCUGGGAACAGCAUAACGUUCCAUCUCAGCUGGUGGGAGAUGAAUGGAGCUCAGAUGGUGAGCUUUGGGGUGAAAUUUCCCAACUUUCAGGUUAUCCCUACCUACCAACGCACUACAAUCUGGGUAGGACCCAGCAGGGCGUGGAGCCAGGCAACGCAUUGUGUAGGAAUCCCAGCCAGGCAGCAGCUCCCGGAGUCUGGCAGCCCCUCCUCGUGCCCUCAGCUUCCCCAAGGAUGCCUUCGGAUGCCCAGCUCAGAAGCACACAGCCUCAUCACUAGCCUCAUCACUAA